UGGGUAAUAUUGGACAAUGGGCGAAAGCCUGAUCCAGCCAUGCCGCGUGUGUGAAGAAGGUCUUCGGAUUGUAAAGCACUUUAAGUUGGGAGGAAGGGCAGUAAGCGAAUACCUUGCUGUGUUGACGUUACCGACAGAAUAAGCACCGGCUAACUCUGUGCCAGCAGCCGCGGUAAUACAGAGGGUGCAAGCGUUAAUCGGAAGUACUGGGCGUAAAGCGCGCGUAGGUGGUUCGUUAAGUUGAAUGUGAAAGCCCCGGGCUCAACCUGGGAACUGCAUCCUACACUGGCGAGCUAGAGUAGGGCAGAGGGUGGUGGAAUAUCCUGUGUAGCAGUGAAAUGCGUAGAUAUAAGAAGGAACACCAGUGGCGAAGGCGACCGCCUGGGCUCAUACUGACACUGAGGUGCGAAAGCGUGGGGAGCAAACAGG
rnacentral:rRNA from 1 species